GCUGGGUGUGGUGGCAUACACCUGUAAUCCCAGCAGCUCGGGAGGCUGAGGCAGAAGGAUCGCAAAUUCAAAACCAGCCUCAGCAAAAGCCAGGUGGUAAGCAACUCAGUGAGACCCUGUCUCUA
rnacentral:sRNA from 1 species